CUCCCACGAGUCCAUACCCAACCAUUCGAAUGAAGGAUAAGAGUUGGACAACUGCCCUCUUAAGACAGUUUCGCUGUGUUGUGACAGUUGAAGGAGUGGAUGUUUGCUCGUGCCGCUCGCUGGAUGAGGCCUACAUCUCAGCAUUCUCCACCUUCUUCGUGUUCAACAUGACCUACCCUGCAUACUUCAAGAAAACACUUGUCUUUCUUCAGAACUGCAUUGUCAACAUAGGAGACCAGGGAGACAAACCCCUGCCAAUGAAGCUAUGGCGGAGGGGCAGUUGUGUUCAGUGAAGGAGAGGUGAGGC
ensembl:lncRNA